rnacentral:tRNA from 1 species
GCCAAGAUAGUUUAACAAAACACUAGGUUGUGACCCUAACAACAGAGCCCUAACUCUUCUUGGCC